rnacentral:tRNA from 1 species
CAGGGAGACAACAAAAUGUUAAAUAUUAAUUUUGUCACCUUAGGUCGAUCGGUAUCUCAGGUUCUUAAUUACUUUAAGAAUUUCAUUUCCUAAGUUUUUUCUAGGUCACACCCAUUACUUUCCCUGGGCCAUUAGCUCAGGUGGUUAGAGCGCACCCCUGAUAAGGGUGAGGUCCCUGGUUCAAGUCCAGGAUGGCCCAUAUCUCUAUGUUGGGGGUAUAGCUCAGUUGGUAGAGCGCCUGCUUUGCAAGCAGGAUGUCAGCGGUUCGAGUCCGCUUACCUCCACUGAUUACCACCUCUUCCAUAAAUUUAAAGAAGGGAAUAGUUAUGAGCGUUGAUUUACUUCUGAACGAAUCUAGCUUCCUAAUAAAUAUAUUAAGAUGCUGGACUCAUUGAAUUUUAUUCAUUGUUUUCAGAGAACCUUGACAACUGCAUAGAUUAUUUUUAAAGACAAUAAGCAUCUUUAAUGAUGCAGAUUUAUUAUUUGUGCUAAUGCAUUAAUAACAAUUCUAUUGAGCUGAUGCUUCAAUUAUAUGAAGUUAUU